GAUGAACGCUAGCGACAGGCCUAACACAUGCAAGUCGAGGGGCAGCGCGGAAGUAGCUUGCUAUUUCUGGCGGCGACCGGCGCACGGGUGCGUAACAGGUGUGCAAUCUGUCCAUAGUCGGGGGAUAGCCCAGCGAAAGCUGAAUUAACACUCCAUGUGUCACGAAGCCGCAUGACUUUGUGAUGAAACGUAAGGACUAUGGGUGAGCACGCUUCUGAUUAGGUAGUUGGUGGGGUAACGGCCCACCAAGCCGACGAUCAGUAGGGGUUCUGAGAGGAAGGUCCCCCACAUUGGAACUGAGACACGGUCCAAACUCC
rnacentral:rRNA from 1 species